rnacentral:lncRNA from 1 species
UGGAGGGAGAGUUCAAACUUCCACAGUAGGGUCCUCUUGGAGGUCCUCGUGCGUGCCUGAACAUCGUAUAUUAGAUAAUUACUGUAGGUCCCCAAGUGGUGAGAAAGAUUGAACACGAGUAAGGUUCGAAAAAAUUGAAAACUUCGUUUGACUUGCCUUUGAAGUUGAAUUCUCAAAAGGGUGUAAAACUUAAGUACAAAAAUUGGAUUAUUAUCCUUAAAAUCAUUGGUUGGAAACAAGUACGAGCGAAAAGAUUGCAAAACGAACGAUCGAAAUCGAAGGAAGGUUGGCCACGUCACAAUCCGGCCGGAUUGGAGGCAGUGGCUAACCCCCUUUUUUUCAAUUUUGGCCACCAAUCCGGCCGACAAUCCGGCCAGAAACUGGCCGGAUUCAAGUUCUGGAAAAUUGUUCCUUCGCGGAUUUCCUUUGAAAUUUCAGAAUUUUGAUUUUUGGUCAAAUCUUUGAAAAAUCAUAACUUCUUUUCUACUAUCGAAACUUGAUGAAUUUGUACCGUUGGAAUCGUCUUUGAAAGUACUAAAAGUUCUUAGAAGACACCGUUCCAUGAAUCUAAGUGGAAGGCAUUCAAAAAUGAGCCUAAAGUUGCUGUUCUAGAUUGCUAGGAUUGAGCCGGGUUGGUUUUUCGCUAACUUUGGAAAUUCGGCAAAAAUCACUCGUUGGAAACCGGCCCUUGAAACUUAUAACUCACUUAGAACUGCAAGUAAAGUUUUGGAUGGAACAAGCGGCUCAAGAAUCGGAGUUUCGAGUACCAAGAUACGGUAGCUCGAAGUUGGGGAAAAUUCAAGAUUGUUACAAAAUUUCCAGAUUUGGUUCCAACUUUGGACCUUUAGUUAAGUGCCUAAACGGACUUGGAUUGACACCAAAUUUUGCAGUAUAAUACUUCCAUAUGAAGGUUAUCUCUCUAUCAAAUUUCAUGGAAAAAUACCCUCGGAAGGGUGGUCAUUCAAUCAACCAAAGUUUGGAAAAAUCCUUAAGGCAAUCUGUCCAAAGCUAAGGUUUUCAAAAAUGAGGCAGUCGCCGUAUUUUGAUCAUAACUCUCUCAAUUUAACUCGGAAUUGGAAAUGGUUGAUAGUGUUAGAAAAUACAUUCACAGGGCUACAACUUUACAGAAGAAAUCGUUCAAGUUUCAGCAUGCAACUGGUUCAAAAUCAAGCCUCAAGUUGCAGCAUCAUCAAAUCAUUUCGGCAGAACGGAGAAACAGGACAGCCGACUUCAGAUGAAUGGUGUGGCUCACACACAUGAAACCAGAAUGUGCAUAUACACCGUUGGAAACAUGGAACGUCUAGUUUCAAAUGCCGCUAACGGCACUUGAUUUCGACGUCGGAGUACGGAGUUAUGGACGAAACACGAACACUGGUCUGGUUACGACGGCAAACCGUUUUCCAGAUUACUAGUUUGAAAUAAAUUCGUUUGACCCAUCAAAACUCAAUAUUUUUCAAUGAAAUUUUGUACACAACUACUACAACAUAUAACAACAUAAUCAAGCCAUUAAAUCCUCAAUUUCUGCAUUUAAGUGACCGAACAGAGCAGGGGUAAAAUGGGAACUUUUUGUUUCAAGAGUUCAAUAACGUUUCUGGUAACAAAGCACCUUUAAUCUACUUCCUUAAGCUCUAAUUCAGCAAAUAAACCAUCAUCAAACAUCAUCACAGCCAUCAACCCAAAGUGGGAGUUCAUAGAGCCCACAUUUCCAACAAUACAAGCUAUUAAAGUAAAGAUUCCAACUCAAAUGCGUAAAUCAACUUCCAUAAGACAAGUUGAAGGUGUUAGAUUGCUACCUACUUUGAUGGCUGGUUUGGACAGAUUUUUCGGUCCUUUGAAGCUUGAAGAAACCGUGAAAGCUCCUCCCUUUUUCAGCCUAUGUUGUUGUCCAAGUGAAAAGCUAAAUGAAUGUGAAGUUUGGUGAGAAUCUAUGGAAGUUUUGGUAGGAAUUUGGUUGAGUUUUGGAAGAGAAGAAAUGGUGAAGCUUCGGUUGUUCCUUUGCUGCAGUCUAGCCGUCCAUUGCAGCAGAGGAAAGGAAAUGAAUUGCGGUUCCGA